rnacentral:misc_RNA from 1 species
AAGUCGUAACAAGGUUUCCGUAGGUGAACCUGCGGAAGGAUCAUUAUCAAUUCUGCGCGAUCUUUUUCGCGCGUGUAUUUAAAACCCACCCUUUUUUUUUUGAAAAAAAUUUUUACAUAUUUUUUACUUGAAAUGAGUAAUUAAAAAAGAUCACUUUCAACAACGGAUCUCUUGGUUCUC